GGCAGAUCGCGUCGACGACGGCAGACCGAUUACGCAACGCCGCGAGCCGCCGCGGCGCGACGGAUGCUCUGGCCUGCGCAGCUACGUUCCGAAGGGCAGAGAGAGAGAGAGGGAGAGGGAGGAGGAACCUGCCUGCGGGAGCGAGGGAGGUGACGGGGAAACCCUAGCGGACCGUACGCCAAACUCCAACUGGUUCACCGUUUGAA
rnacentral:lncRNA from 1 species